rnacentral:siRNA from 1 species
AGAUCAGGUACUUCCUUAGUCUGU